rnacentral:misc_RNA from 1 species
UCUCCGUUGGUGAACCAGCGGAGGGAUCAUUACAGAGUAGCAAAACUCCCAAACCAUUGUGAACGUUACCUAUCCCGUUGCUUCGGCGGGCGGCCCGGGCCCCGCGCCCGGCGCCCCCCGGCCCCCCGUGGGCGCCCGCCGGAGGUAAACCAAACCCUUGAAUUGCAUGGCCUCUCUGAGUCUUCCGUACUGAAUAAGUCAAAACUUUCAACAACGGAUCUCUUGGUUCUG